UGGGGAAUAUUGGGGCAAUGGGCGCAAGCCUGACCCAGCAACGCCGCGUGAAGGAAGAAGGCUUUCGGGUUGUAAACUUCUUUUCUUGGGGACGAAGAAAGUGACGGUACCCAAGGAAUAAGCCACGGCUAACUACGUGCCAGCAGCCGCGGUAAUACGUAGGUGGCAAGCGUUAUCCGGAUUUAUUGGGUUGUAAAGGGCGUGUAGGCGGGAAUGCAAGUCAGAUGUGAAAAGCUAUGGGCUCAACCCAUAGCCUGCAUUUGAAACUGUAUUUCUUGAGUGCUGGAGAGGCAAUCGGAAUUCCGUGUGUAGCGGUGAAAUGCGUAGAUAUACGGAGGAACACCAGUGGCGAAGGCGGAUUGCUGGACAGUAACUGACGCUGAGGCGCGAAAGCGUGGGGAGCAAACAGGAUUAGAUACCC
rnacentral:rRNA from 1 species